GUCGCACGAAGCGCGAGAUUAGUCCGAGCGAGCUAAAAUUCGAGCAUAGUUGUAUACCGAGUACUUAGUAGUAUUAUACAAAGGCGAUUCGAACAACGCACAUAAUCGAGAGCAGCGUAUUUCUCGAUUCAUUUGUAAGAGAUUCUAAGUGGUAACGCUUCGUAAUGGCUGGUGGUGGUUUGAAGAGCACUUGAGGUUCGUGGAUGGUCACCAGCUUGACUGUGCACGUGGUUCUCCACGCUAAUCACCGGCGAUGAUGUCGACAAGUGUACGAAGAGCUUUUCAACAGCGACCUUCGACCUCUCCAACGCCUCGAGAUCGUGAAAACACUUUCAAGUUGAAGGAGUCGUCGAUGAGGGACGAGACACGUUCGCCAGGAUUUCAAUUUCUACGCGCAGUGGGUCGCGAAAGUAUUCGUACUCUCUCAGUUACUGUCUGCAGAGUGAUAUCCUCCAAAUAAGUUCAAUGUUAUCAGGCUCAUAUUCAUAAAAUAUAUUUGGUAAUAACAAAACUUUAGAUUGAAUAGCUGUCAAAAUUCGGUGAAAAUCGGGUGUCUUAUGUAUCUGUGCUUAAUUAUGAAGAAUUUUCCAUUAAACCAUUUGAUAUUUAAUUUAAUAUUUCGAAUAAUCAUAAUAUUGUGUCAUUAUAUACGAAUAAAAUUUGUCACUUGACUGGAGUUACAAGUAAUUUUCACAUAAACUAUUUAAUCUAUAAUUUAUUAUUUCUGAGAAUAUUUUGAAAUUAUUUAAAAAGUAAGAAUGCCACUUCAGUGUUUUUACGAGCGAUCAUCACAUAGUUACAACAGAGAAUAGACAACUAAACUAAGAAAAUAACACAUCUUUCCCAUGAACACACUGUCCCUGAAAAAAUAUUUCACAGUCAAUUUGAAGUAUUGUCAUUUAUGCAAGGAGCUUAAAUUGAUUUACCAACGAAAUGAAGAGUUCUCCGAAAGAAGCUUUAGAGUUUUAUUUUUUGACAUCAAAAUAAGCCUACCAAGUUCACUUUUAUCUAAAAGAAAAAAAAAUCCACACAAUUUCAGUUUGAUUAAAAACCAAAAUCCUAAAACCCCUAUUGGAAAAGCCAUUUCUUUCGUCAACCGUUUCUAAACGAAGCAGAAUGUUUAUUUCAACGAAUGAAACUCACUUACUCGCUCGUUACAUUUCUUUUAUCUCUUGUUGCUUUAACCUUUCCUUCGGUAAUUCUCGUUUAAUAUUUUUAUGCACGAGGCUCCAGGGAACUUCCACGUUCCUCACGAUAAUCUCUGAUUCUACGUGGAACUUUGAAAUUCUAUGGAAUCUCUUUUUCGGCGUGGUUGUAUACUGCCUGUCACGGAAUUAAUUCAGGCAUUGGACGUCCAGAAAAAAUUUAAUUUCGGAUUAUCGACUGCAACGUUUCCCCAUAUAUCGAAUUGCAUGAC